rnacentral:rRNA from 1 species
GACGAUAGGGCGCGAGCGUUUGUCCGGAUUUAUUGGGCGUAAAGAGCUCGUAGGCGGCUUGUCGCGUCGACUGUGAAAACCCGCGGCUCAACUGCGGGCCUGCAGCCGAUACGGGCAGGCGUAGAGUUCGGUAGGGGAGACUGGAAUUCCUGGUGUAGCGGUGAAAUGACGCAGAUAUCAGGAGGAACACCGGUGGGCGAAAGGCGGGGUCUCUGG